rnacentral:rRNA from 1 species
GCAUGCCUUACACAUGCAAGUCGAACGGUAACGGGCCUUCGGGUGCCGACGAGUGGCGAACGGGUGAGUAAUGCAUCGGAACGUACCUUUCAGUGGGGGAUAACGUAGCGAAAGUUACGCUAAUACCGCAUAUUCUGUACGCAGGAAAGCAGGGGAUCGCAAGACCUUGCGCUGAUUGAGCGGCCGAUGUCAGAUUAGCUAGUUGGUGAGGUAAAGGCUCACCAAGGCGACGAUCUGUAGCGGGUCUGAGAGGAUGAUCCGCCACACUGGAACUGAGACACGGUCCAGACUCCUACGGGAGGCAGCAGUGGGGAAUUUUGGACAAUGGGGGCAACCCUGAUCCAGCCAUGCCGCGUGAGUGAAGAAGGCCUUCGGGUUGUAAAGCUCUUUCGGCCGGGAAGAAAUCGCAUGGGCUAAUACCCUGUGCGGAUGACGGUACCGGCAUAAGAAGCACCGGCUAACUACGUGCCAGCAGCCGCGGUAAUACGUAGGGUGCGAGCGUUAAUCGGAAUUACUGGGCGUAAAGCGUGCGCAGGCGGUUUUGUAAGACAGGCGUGAAUCCCGGGCUCACCUGGGAACUGCGCU